rnacentral:ncRNA from 1 species
UCUCGAUAAUAGCAAAGCAAGUGAAAGCUUGUGACGCAAAACUAUAGGGGCUUACGGUGCAAAGCAAGAUGCACCCAGCCAGCCAGCUGCCGAA